rnacentral:rRNA from 1 species
UACGUAGGGUCCAAGCGUUAAUCGGAAUUACUGGGCGUAAAGCGUGCGUAGGCGGAUUCGCAAGUCCGAUGUGAAAUCCCCGGGCUUAACCUGGGAACUGCGUUGGAAACUACGAAGCUAGAGUGCGGCAGAGGGGGGUGGAAUUCCAGGCGUAGCAGUGAAAUGCGUAGAGAUCUGGAGGAACACCGAUGGCGAAGGCAGCCCCCUGGGCUAGCACUGACGCUCAUACACGAAAGCGUGGGGAGCAAACAGG